rnacentral:rRNA from 1 species
AUGGCGGCCUCAGAGGCAGCACAAGAAGCAAUCUGGAUGAAGGAGUUCAUUACCGACCUAGGAGUUAUUCCCAAUGCGUCGGGCCCGAUGACUCUCUUCUGUGACAACACUGGAGCUAUUGCCCUUGCCAAGGAGCCUAGGUUUCACAGGAAGACCAGGCAUAUCAAGCGUCGCUUCAACUCCAUUCGUGAAAAUGUUCAAAAUGGAGACAUAGAUAUUUGUAAAGUACAUACGGACCUGAAUGUAGCAGAUCCGUUGACUAAACCUCUCCCUAGAGCAAAACAUGAUCAACACCAG